rfam:Cavia porcellus supercont2_108 genomic scaffold, whole genome shotgun sequence.
AUAAAGGCUCUUUUCAGAGCCAGAUACCAAAGCUCUAAGUUGUGAU